AACGAACGCUGGCGGCAGGCCUAACACAUGCAAGUCGAGCGCCCCGCAAGGGGAGCGGCGGACGGGUGAGUAACGCGUGGGAACGUGCCCUUUGCUACGGAAUAGCCCCGGGAAACUGGGAGGAAUACCGUAUAAGCCCUACGGGGGAAAGAUUUAUCGGAAAAGGAUCGGCCCGCGUUGGAUUAGGUAGGUGGUGGGGUAAUGGCCUACCAAGCCGAUGAUCCAUAGCUGGUUUGGGAGGAUGAUCAGCUACACUGGGACUGAGACACGGCCCAGAAUCCUACGGGAGGCAUGAGUGCGGAAUCUUAGACAAUGGGCGCAAGCCUGAUCUAGCCAUGCCGCGUGAGCGAUGAAGGCCUUAGGGUUGUAAAGCUCUUUCGUGGGGGAAGAUAAUGACUGUACCCCAAGAAGAAGCCCCGGCUAACUCCGUGCCAGCCGCCGCCGUAA
rnacentral:rRNA from 1 species